UACGAAGGGUGCAAACGUUGCUCGGAAUUAUUGGGCGUAAAGCGCACGUAGGCGGCUUAGCAAGUUGGAUGUGAAAGCCCUCGGCUUAACCAAGGAAGUGCAUCCAAAACUGCUGAGCUUGAGUAGUUAAGAGGAUCGCGGAAUUCCCGGUGUAGAGGUGAAAUUCGUAGAUAUCGGGAGGAACACCGAGUGGCGAAGGCGGCGAUCUGGGAACAUACUGACGCUGAGGUGCGAAAGCGUGGGGGGAGCAAACAGGG
rnacentral:rRNA from 1 species